GAUGAGCGCUAGCGGCAGGCCUAAUACAUGCAAGUCGAGGGAGAAUGUUGGAUUCGUCUGACAUGAAACCGGCGCACGGGUGCGUAACACGUAUGCAGCCUACCUUUAACUGGGGUAUAGCUCAGAGAAGUCUGAAUUAAUCCCCCAUAAGACUACGACAUGGCAUCAUGAUGGAGUUAAAGCUCCGGCGGUUAAGGAUGGGCAUGCGGUACAUUAGCUAGUUGGUGAGGUAAUGGCUCACCAAGGCUACGAUGUAUAGGGGGUCUGAGAGGAUGAUCCCCCACACUGGUACUGAGACACGGACCAGACUCCUACGGGAGGCAGCAGUAGGGAAUAUUGGUCAAUGGACGCAAGUCUGAACCAGCCAUGCCGCGUGAAGGAUGAAGGCCCUAUGGGUCGUAAACUUCUUUUAUUAGGGAAGAAAAAACGGGAUGCGUCCUGUACUGACGGUACUUAAUGAAUAAGGAUCGGCUAACUUCGUGCCAGCCGCCGCAGUAA
rnacentral:rRNA from 1 species